UACGAAGGGGGCUAGCGUUGCUCGGAAUCACUGGGCGUAAAGGGUGCGUAGGCGGGUCUUUAAGUCAGGGGUGAAAUCCUGGAGCUCAACUCCAGAACUGCCUUUGAUACUGAGGAUCUUGAGUUCGGGAGAGGUGAGUGGAACUGCGAGUGUAGAGGUGAAAUUCGUAGAUAUUCGCAAGAACACCAGUGGCGAAGGCGGCUCACUGGCCCGAUACUGACGCUGAGGAGCGAAAGCAUGGGGAGCGAACAGG
rnacentral:rRNA from 1 species